GAUGAACACUAGCGGCAGGCCUAACACAUGCAAGUCGAACGAGACCUUCGGGUCUAGUGGCGCACGGGUGCGUAACGCGUGGGAAUCUGCCCUUGGGUGCGGAAUAACUUCUCGAAAGGGAUGCUAAUACCGCAUAAUGUCGUAAGACCAAAGAUUUAUCGCCCAAGGAUGAGCCCGCGUAAGAUUAGCUAGUUGGUGGGGUAAAAGCCUACCAAGGCGACGAUCUUUAGCUGGUCUGAGAGGAUGAUCAGCCACACUGGGACUGAGACACGGCCCAGACUCCUACGGGAGGCAGCAGUGGGGAAUAUUGGACAAUGGGCGAAAGCCUGAUCCAGCAAUGCCGCGUGAGUGAUGAAGGCCCUAGGGUUGUAAAGCUCUUUACCAGGGAUGAUAAUGACAGUACCUGGAGAAUAAGCUCCGGCUAACUCCGUGCCAGCAGCCGCGGUAAU
rnacentral:rRNA from 1 species